rnacentral:rRNA from 1 species
GACGAACGCUGGCGGCGUGCUUAACACAUGCAAGUCGAACGGAUCACAUUGCUUCGGUUUUGUGGUGAGUGGCGAACGGGUGAGUAACACGUGAGUAACCUGCCCCCUUCUUUGGGAUAACGUCGGGAAAUCGGCGCUAAUACUGGAUAUUCUGGCUGCUUCGCAUGGGGUGGUUGGGAAAGGUUUUUCUGGUGGGGGAUGGGCUCGCGGCCUAUCAGCUUGUUGGUGGGGUGAUGGCCUACCAAGGCGGUGACGGGUAGCCGGCCUGAGAGGGUGUCCGGCCACACUGGGACUGAGACACGGCCCAGACUCCUACGGGAGGCAGCAGUGGGGAAUAUUGCACAAUGGGCGGAAGCCUGAUGCAGCGACGCCGCGUGAGGGAUGACGGCCUUCGGGUUGUAAACCUCUUUCAGUACAGAACAAGGCUCUUUCGGGGGUUGAGGGUAUGUGCAGAAGAAGCGCCGGCUAACUACGUGCCAGCAGCCGCGGUAAUACGUAGGGCGCAAGCGUUGUCCGGAAUUAUUGGGCGUAAAGAGCUCGUAGGCGGUUUGUCGCGUCUGCCGUGAAAUCCUGGGGCUUAACUCUGGGCGUGCGGUGGGUACGGGCAGACUAGAGUGCGGUAGGGGAGACUGGAAUUCCUGGUGUAGCGGUGGAAUGCGCAGAUAUCAGGAGGAACACCGGUGGCGAAGGCGGGUCUCUGGGCCGUUACUGACGCUGAGGAGCGAAAGCAUGGGGAGCGAACAGGAUUAGAUACCCUGGUAGUCCAUGCCGUAAACGUUGGGAACUAGGUGUGGGGUCCAUUCCACGGAUUCUGCGCCGUAGCUAACGCAUUAAGUUCCCCGCCUGGGGAGUACGGCCGCAAGGCUAAAACUCAAAGGAAUUGACGGGGGCCCGCACAAGCGGCGGAGCAUGCGGAUUAAUUCGAUGCAACGCGAAGAACCUUACCAAGGCUUGACAUGCACUAGAAGCAUCCAGAGAUGGGUGUGCCGUAAGGCUGGUGUACAGGUGGUGCAUGGUUGUCGUCAGCUCGUGUCGUGAGAUGUUGGGUUAAGUCCCGCAACGAGCGCAACCCUUGUCCUAUGUUGCCAGCGGGUUAUGCCGGGGACUCAUGGGAGACUGCCGGGGUCAACUCGGAGGAAGGUGGGGAUGACGUCAAAUCAUCAUGCCCCUUAUGUCUUGGGCUUCACGCAUGCUACAAUGGCCGGUACAGAGGGUUGCGAUCCCGUGAGGGGGAGCGAAUCCCAAAAAGCCGGUCUCAGUUCGGAUUGGGGUCUGCAACUCGACCCCAUGAAGUCGGAGUCGCUAGUAAUCGCAGAUCAGCAACGCUGCGGUGAAUACGUUCUCGGGCCUUGUACACACCGCCCGUCACGUCACGAAAGUCGGUAACACCCGAAGCCGGUGGCCUAACCUUUUUGGGGGGAGCCGUCGAAGGUGGGACUGGUGAUUGGGACG